CUAGAACUCUUAAUGUUAUAGAUGUUAGUUUGAGGAGUUGUAAUACCAGUUAUGCACGGUGAUCACGUGCACAACUUGAUACCAUUGAUGGUACCUCUAUGGGACUAUUAGGGCUUACUAACACACGGAGUAGACUACAUAUGCGCACCAUCGGAAGUACAAAACUUGUAUGUUGGUCCAGCAGGAUGCUUAGAGUUGACAGGUAUGGCCCAAAGAUUUUCUUCACCUCUGUAUUGUUAGUUUCUUACCUUUUUUACAUACCUGUCAGCAUUCCUCGAAGAACCUUCGUUAUUCGUCGCUUUCCGUUCUUAACCUCUGUCCUACUAGCGGUAAGAAGUAUUACCUCUCAGUCCCAGAUAUAACAAAAUACGAUAAAAUGGAAUUCCCACAAAUCCAGGAUGGACUAUGACUACUAGUACACG
rnacentral:rRNA from 1 species